rnacentral:tRNA from 1 species
CCCCUGGUGAUCUAGUGGUUAGUCUUUGGCGCUCUCACUGCCACUACCCGGGUUUGAUUUCCGGUCAGGGAA